UGUAUAUAUAGCCAUGCAUUUCCAUUGUUCAUUGUGAAGUAUUGCCAGUUUACCCUGCCUUACCGAGUGUUUUUCAAUUGCCAUUGUUUCUUGAUUCAUUUUAUGACCGUUACCUGUUUUUCUAGAUUUACUGCUUUUUGGAUUACCCUUUGUUUUGUUUACCUAGUUGGACUAUCUAUUUGAUUUAUUGGAUGUAUCCGCCUGCUUUAUGACUACGUCUCUCUGCCUGCUGUUUUGGAUUGUUUGCUUGUGUCUCUUUCAAUAAACUUUCUGCACAUGGAUCCUAACACCGUCUGCAUGGCCAGUUCAUUACAGAAUACUUCGCCUACCAUGGAUCCAGCAGAUGUCACACAGCUCCAGGCUGCAUUUGCAUACCACAGUGCAAGGUUUUAAAGGGUUAUCAAGACCAGCUGAACAACCUACAAGCUGCCAACGAAUGUCUGACUCACUACAUUCAUAGCUGCUCAAAGUGGGUGGAAUGAUGUCGAUCUGAAAACUGUUUUCCGUGAGGGGCUUCACCAAGAACUCAAGGCGGAUCUGACAUGCAAGGGUGAGGGUUCUACUCUGUCAGAAUUAAUUGCCAUGGCUAUCAAGAUGGAUAACCUGCUUUGUAAAGUUAACGGCCCCAGUUUCACACCGUUUCUAAGUUUACAGUCUCAGUACAGGCAUAGGCAUCCACUGAAUCACCCGAACCUAUGCAAGUUGUUUACGCCAUGUUUAUAUGGAGGAACGCCAAUGUUGACGUAACGAAAAACUUUGCUAUUACUCUGGUGAACCAGGUCAUCCCAAUCCUGCAUGCGCACACAAGAAAUCAAGCUCCCAUGAAUCAAAGCUGAAAGUCAUCCUUGGCGGACAUCCACAACCCUUCUAUUUCCUGGAAUUGGGGUGUGCUCACACAAUGGCCAAGUUUCUGUCAUAAACAUUGUCUCCAUGUUGCUGUCUCCAUGACUUGUCUUACCACCAGCAUUGAAAGCCCUGAUUUCCAAAAAGUAACCAUGAUUCCCGAGGAGUAUGCAGAAUUCAAUUAAGUUUUUAGUAAACUCAAAGAUUCUCAACUUCCUCCUCACCAUCCAUGGGACUGUGCCAUUGAACGUCUGUCUAAUACAGCUCCACUGAGAAGCAAGGCUUAUCCAUUGUCACGCCCCAAGACCCUAGAUAUGGAAACUAACAUCAAGGAAGCCCUUGCCUCUGGUUACAUCCAUCCCUCCACCUCUCCAGCAGCUGCAGGUUUUUUCUUCGAGGAGAAAAAGGAUGGAGGUCUACAUCCAUGCAUUGACUAUCGAGGUCUGAACUCUGUCACCUUGAAAUACCAUUACCCACUGCCACUUAUCCCCUCAGCCCUUGAACAACUCCGUGAGGCUACGAUUUAUACUAAGCUCGAUCUAAGAAGUGCUUAUAACCUCAUCAGUAUCAGAGAAGGGAAUUAGUGGAAAACUGCAUUCCUCACCACCAGGGGGCACUAUGAAUAUCUGGUCAUGCCAUAUGGACUUGCUAACACCCCCUCUGUUUUCCAGUCUUUUGUUAAUGAGAUUUUCAGAGACCUACUGAAUCAGUGUGUGUGGUGGCCUACAUUGACGACAUCCUCAUCUACUCCCAAAACAAGGAACAGCAUAUACAGCAUGUCAGGAAAUUCCUAUCAUAUCUCCAGGAACACCAGUUAUUUGUCAGGCAGAAAAAUGUGUUACCCAUACCACGUUCCUAGGUUACAAUAUCAGCCACCAAGGUGUAGAAAUCACAGCAGUGAUGUGGCCUUGACCUUCCACAAUCAAAGAACUACAGCGGAUUCUGGGUUUUUCCCAUUUCUACUGCCGCUUCAUCAGAAACUACAGUCUCAUUGCAGCACCACUCAAGUAAUUGCUCAAGGGAAAACCCAACAAGUUGCCAUGGAAUGACACCGCAUACCAAGCCUUUGUCUCCCUCAAGUCAAGCUUCAUGACAGUUCCUAUACUGAAACACCUCAACCACAAUCUUCCUUUCGUCGUUGAAGUAGACACCUCUGUUUGUGUGAUUGAAGCCAUAUCACUAUAUUCUGGUGACAGCCAUCAUGACCAGAUCUUCUAAGCAGCCAGAUGCAUCAACUUCUGAGAUACCCCUCUUCAGAUCAGGAGUCUCCUUUCCUUGGAUAUUUUGCCAAAUGUUAUGCUAUUCUUGCUGAUGGUUCUAGUAUGAGGGGUUCAUGAAGAAAACGGUGUGUCAAAGAAAUUGGUUGCUGGCCUGAUGCACCUCAUUCAGUCACAUCUGGAUGCACUGAUGGGGAAUUUCUCUCGCUACUUCCCCCAGGAGAACUUCAAUAAAUUAAAAGACAAGCGAUAUUCCAUGGCGACUUGUUUAAUCCGCGUCGGGGUUCCGAGGGAGUAGGACCGGCACGCAUCUAAUUCACUGAACUCCUUGGCUCCACGAGUGAGAGGCGGCAUCUAAUUCAGCCGGUACCCUCCCCGCUCUGCUGCUGGACCUGCGAGAAGGAGAUAGAAGCCGGCUUCUGAGGAGAGGUGUGCUCUGCAUUUUAAUGGCAGCGGUGAAAAGGCUCUAUUAACAUAAGGUGUAUCUCAUCAAAUGCUGAAGGAUGAAGGAUGGCCCUAAGAGGCAGGAUGAUGAUGAUGAUGACAAGAUGGAGGGGCGGGUCGUUCCACUACACAUAUUAUUGCAUAAAAUACUAUAUAAGAUAUAAAAACCAGGGGAAUAUAUAUUUUUUUUGCAUGGAUGUCAUUUUGUGGUAAUUUUCUGUUCAUUAUAUAUGACUUUACAUGUAAUAAAUGUGUAAAA